rnacentral:rRNA from 1 species
UCGAGGGGCAGCAUGAUUGAAGCUUGCUUCAAUUGAUGGCGACCGGCGCACGGGUGAGUAACGCGUAUCCAACCUUCCGUACACUCAGGGAUAGCCUUUCGAAAGAAAGAUUAAUACCUGAUGGUAUGAUGAGAUUGCAUGAUAGCAUCAUUAAAGAUUUAUCGGUGUACGAUGGGGAUGCGUUCCAUUAGGUAGUUGGUGGGGUAACGGCCUACCAAGUCGACGAUCAGUAGCCGGACUGAGAGGUUGAACGGCCACAUUGGGACUGAGACACAGCCCAGACUCCUACGGGAGGCAGCAGUGGGGAAUAUUGCACAAUGGGGGAAACCCUGAUGCAGCAACGCCGCGUGAAGGAAGACGGUUUUCGGAUUGUAAACUUCUGUUCUUAGUGAAGAAUAAUGACGGUAGCUAAGGAGCAAGCCACGGCUAACUACGUGCCAGCAGCCGCGGUAAUACGUAGGUGGCAAGCGUUGUCCGGAAUUACUGGGUGU